CCUACGGGGGGCAGCAGUGGGGAAUAUUGGACAAUGGGGGCAACCCUGAUCCAGCCAUGCCGCGUGUGUGAAGAAGGCCCUCGGGUUGUAAAGCACUUUCAGUGAGGAAGAACGCCUGGUGGUUAAUACCCAUCAGGAAAGACAUCACUCACAGAAGAAGCACCGGCUAACUCCGUGCCAGCAGCCGCGGUAAUACGGAGGGUGCGAGCGUUAAUCGGAAUUACUGGGCGUAAAGGGCGCGUAGGUGGCUUGAUAAGCCGGUUGUGAAAGCCCCGGGCUCAACCUGGGAACGGCAUCCGGAACUGUCAAGCUAGAGUGCAGGAGAGGAAGGCAGAAUUCCCGGUGUAGCGGUGAAAUGCGUAGAGAUCGGGAGGAAUACCAGUGGCGAAGGCGGCCUGCUGGACUGACACUGACACUGAGGUGCGAAAGCGUGGGUAGCAAACAGGAUUAGAUACCCCUGUAGUC
rnacentral:rRNA from 1 species